GGAGAGUGCCCUGCGUGCCACGAAAG
rnacentral:piRNA from 1 species